AAUAAGUGCAGUUUACGUUUGACCGUUCGUCUUAUUUAAAAUUUUUUUACGAUUAAUAUUUUUAUUGUUAUUAUAUGAUAAAACAUAUAUAGUACUUUAUGCAACUAAGUUUUUUUAAUUUUCUCAUAAAUUUUUCAAAUAAGACAGACGGUCAAACGUUGGACACGGAUUCCCACGACUGCACUUAUU
rfam:Oryza sativa Japonica Group DNA, chromosome 11, cultivar: Nipponbare, complete sequence.